CGCGGGAGGUCUGUCAUUAAGUAAAGGCUACAGUACUUGAAAAGCAGCUUCUAAAGCCAAAAAGGCAGGCGCCUGAGUCGCUCUCUGGGCUUUUCUUCAACAACACCUGCAGGGAAACGUCACGGGAAUGGGCUGGGACCCUAGGUGGGGGCUCACGUCUCUCUUCUCCUUCACCUGGUGACCUUUGCUGCUCUCCAGAGAGACACAGAGGAAACAUAACUGCAUGUCGCUAGAUGGAAGAAGGCAACGUGAAGGAUCCCACCCGCGUGACCUUCUGGAAAGGGUCACACUACGGACACAGCCAAAGGAAAACCAGUGUUUGCCACGGGGCGGAGGGGAGGCAGGGAGGGAUGAGUAGGGAGAGCACAGAGGGUCUUUAGGGCAGUGAAACUAUAUGAGGCUUGUACGAUGGGUGCGUGCCAUCACACAUUUGUCCAAACCCACAGAGUCCACACCACCAAGAGGGAGCCUAAU